AAUAGAUACCCUGGUAGUCCACGCCGUAAACGAUGAGUGCUAGGUGUUAGGGGGUCCAACCCUUAGUGCCGAAGUUAACACAUUAAGCACUCCGCCUGGGGGAGUACGGUCGCAAGACUGAAACUCAAAGGAAUUGACGGGGGCCCGCACAAGCGGUGGAGCAUGUGGUUUAAUUCGAAGCAACGCGAAGAACCUUACCAGGGCUUGACAUCCCUCUGACCGUUCUAGAGAUAGAGCUUCCCUUCGGGGCAGAGGUGACAGGUGGUGCAUGGUUGUCGUCAGCUCGUGUCGUGAGAUGUUGGGUUAAGUCCCGCAACGAGCGCAACCCUUGUCCUUAGUUGCCAGCAUUCAGUUGGGCACUCUAGGGAGACUGCCGGUGACAAACCGGAGGAAGGUGGGGAUGACGUCAAAUCAUCAUGCCCCUUAUGUCCUGGGCUACACACGUGCUACAAUGGCUGGUACAAAGGGUAGCGAAGCAGUGAUGUGGAGCCAAUCCCAAAAAGCCAGUCACAGUUCGGAUUGUAGGCUGCAACUCG
rnacentral:rRNA from 1 species